CAAUCUGCCCUGCACUCUGGGACAAGCCCUGGAAACGGGGUCUAAUACCGGAUACUGACCCGCUUGGGCAUCCAAGCGGUUCGAAAGCUCCGGCGGUGCAGGAUGAGCCCGCGGCCUAUCAGCUAGUUGGUGAGGUAAUGGCUCACCAAGGCGACGACGGGUAGCCGGCCUGAGAGGGCGACCGGCCACACUGGGACUGAGACACGGCCCAGACUCCUACGGGAGGCAGCAGUGGGGAAUAUUGCACAAUGGGCGAAAGCCUGAUGCAGCGACGCCGCGUGAGGGAUGACGGCCUUCGGGUUGUAAACCUCUUUCAGCAGGGAAGAAGCGAAAGUGACGGUACCUGCAGAAGAAGCGCCGGCUAACUACGUGCCAGCAGCCGCGGUAAUACGUAGGGCGCAAGCGUUGUCCGGAAUUAUUGGGCGUAAAGAGCUCGUAGGCGGCUUGUCACGUCGGUUGUGAAAGCCCGGGGCUUAACCCCGGGUCUGCAGUCGAUACGGGCAGGCUAGAGUUCGGUAGGGGAGAUCGGAAUUCCUGGUGUAGCGGUGAAAUGCGCAGAUAUCAGGAGGAACACCGGUGGCGAAGGCGGAUCUCUGGGCCGAUACUGACGCUGAGGAGCGAAAGCGUGGGGAGCGAACAGGA
rnacentral:rRNA from 1 species